UCUGAAUAUCAGAGCUAUACUUGUCUUUCAGCUUCUGGAGCUGAGUCUUUAACUCAUCUGUAGCCUGCCGUUAAAUUCAAGAAAGAUUGAAACUGCAGUGUUUCUCUUUAAACUUUCAAGCUGCUGAGUUAAUCUGUUGCGGAAAUUUUGCACGAGAAUUUUGUUUCUCUCCUCCCUAUUGUUGCUUUUCUCUAUUUUAUAAGAAACAUAAGUUAGAAGAAGAAACUGAUGCUAGCCAGAUAAAGAACAUAAGAAAUAGUAAGACGAACCAAUUUUGGCGAACAAGGUGGAUAUCUCUGAUUCUGCAUUCUCUACUUCAGCUUGAAGCUCAAGUGCUUUAUCAGUCAUUGCCUUUUCUAAAUGACGAGAGGAUUCACGAAUACUUUGAUUCAUCUUUGUAUUUCAAUGAGAUGCUUGGGACACACUUCAGAGUUUAACUCACCAGAUUUAAUGAGAUCAAAUACCAGAUGAUCCUUCUCUUGAACCGUCUCUUUCGCUCGACUAUUUUGAGCUUCUAGAUCAUUGAAAGCUUGUUCAGCUUCCUUGAGUUCUCUCUGCCAUAAAACAGAGGCUGGAAAGUUUAGUUAUCUUCAACUUUCUAGCUAUCUUAAUUUAAAAAAAGAGACUUGGGAAGUAACUUGUUCAAGUAACAUUCCACCUGAGUUCUCUCAAGUUCUUCGGUUAAAUUUGCUGUCAGUUGUCGCUGAUAAUCAUAAAGAUCCUGAAGCUCUCUCAGUUUCUGCUCAGAAACUGUGACUUCUCAAUGAUCUUGGAAUAAAUUAGGACUUGCAUAAGCUGCCUACACGACAGACCAGAUCAAGAGUUGCACUCCAGAAAUAUUGAUGGGAAAAGCACCUUGUGAGCUGCCUCUUCACUCAAGUAGCGGUCUUGUGAAUGAUCAACCAAAGCAUUGAUGACUCUGCCCAAAGUAAGCAAGCUCUUAUUUAUCUCACCAGCCUCUCUUGCUCUUCCCUGG